rnacentral:RNase_P_RNA from 1 species
AGAGAAGGCUGGACGGUCGCCGGCCGCGGUGACGCGGCGGGAGGAAAGUCCGGGCUCCACAGGGCAGGGUGCUGGGUAACGCCCAGGGGGGGAAACCUCACGGACCAGUGCCACAGAAAGCAGACCGCCGUCUCGUCUGUGCCCGCGAGGGUGGCGGGGCGGUAAGGGUGAAACGGUGAGGUAAGAGCUCACCAGCGGCGCGGGUGACCGCGCUGGCUCGGCAAACCCCACCCGGAGCAAGGCCAAAUAGGGGAGCUAUGGCGUGGCCCGCGCCGCUCCCGGGUUCGGCCGCUGGAGACGCCGGGUAACCGGCGCCCUAGAGAAAUGAUCGUCACCCCGGACGGGAAACCGCUCGGGGGACAGGACCCGGCUUACAGGCCUUCUCUGGCG